UUAUUUUUUAUGCCUGACCAGUAUUGAGGAAGAAUGAUGAGAUAUGUCUAGAGAGUGUGAACUAUUAAGAAUAUUACUGUAAAUUUUAAGAAAAAAUUUAAUAAGGAAACAGUUAUACCACAUAGUGUUCUGUAUCUUGCCCUUUUUGUCUAUUGUAUCUAAGAGAUAUUACUAUGUCAGUGAAUUUAUUUUCACAAAACUGCAUAAUAUUUUAUUGCAUGUUAUAUCAUAAUUUAUUAAGUCAAUUCCUACAAAUAGACAAUAUAGUAUUGUUCUGUAUAGAUAUGCCAUAAUUUGUUUAUCCAUUUACCCAUUGAUGAACAUUUGGGUUGUUUCCAGUUUUUAGCUAUUUCACAUAAAACUGCUGUAAACAUUCUCAUGAAAGUCUUUGCGUAAACAAGUGUUUUCAUUUAUCCUGGGAAAAUACCUCAAAAUGAGUAUUUGACUAGAUCAUAUAUUAGGUUUAUGUUUGACAUUUUAUGACAGUAUCAAACAGUUUUCAAAAGUCUAGGAAAUACCAAUCUGAAUUUUCAUCAGCAGUGUACGAGAGUUGUAGCUGCUUCACAUCUCACCAACACUCGAUAUGGACAGUCU
rnacentral:lncRNA from 1 species